rnacentral:rRNA from 1 species
ACGGAAGGCAGCAGUGGGGAAUAUUGGGCAAUGGGCGAAAGCCUGACCCAGCAACGCCGCGUGAGGGAAGAAGGGUUUCGGCUCGUAAACCUCUGUCCUAUGGGACGAAGAAGUGACGGUACCAUAGGAGGAAGCCCCGGCUAACUACGUGCCAGCAGCCGCGGUAAUACGUAGGGGGCGAGCGUUGUCCGGAAUGAUUGGGCGUAAAGGGCGCGUAGGCGGCCCGUUAAGUCUGGAGUGAAAGUCCUGCUUUCAAGGUGGGAAUUGCUUUGGAUACUGACGGGCUGGAGUGCAGGAGAGGAAAGCGGAAUUACCGGUGUAGCGGUGAAAUGCGUAGGCAUUAGGAGGAACACCAGUGGCGAAGGCGGCUUUCUGGACGACAACUGACGCUGAGGCGCGAAAGUGUGGGGAGCAAACAGGAUUAGAUACCCUGGUA